UGGGAGGAUUGACAGAUUGAGAGUUCUUCUUGAUUCGGUGGACGCCACCAUCCAGGCAUGGCCGUUCGUAAGACCCCGCAGUGACCGAAAGGGAAUCGGGUUAAUAAUCCCGAACCCGGACACGGAGAUUGAUCCUUCGGGCCCAGUGCGAUAACGCAAACCAGCUCGGAGACGCCGAUGCGAGCCCCGUGAAGAGUUUUCUUUUCACUGUAAGGAGAUCGAGUCGUUGGAAUGGGUUCGCCCCGAGAUAGGGAUGGUGGCUCUGAAGAGCAGUGCGGCUCUUGCGGUGUCCGGUGCGCUCGCGUCGGCCCUUGAAAAUCCGAGUGAGGGAGUGUGAUUUUCGUGCCGGACCGUACCCACAUCCGCAGCAGGUCUCCAAUGUGAACAGCCUCC
rnacentral:rRNA from 1 species